GUUCCGUAGGUGAACCUGCGGAAGGAUCAUUACUGAGUGAGGGCCCCUCGGGGUCCAACCUCCCACCCGUGUUUAACGAACCUUGUUGCUUCGGCGGGCCCGCCUCACGGCCGCCGGGGGGCAUCUGCCCCCGGGCCCGCGCCCGCCGAAGCCACCUGUGAACGCUGUCUGAAGUAUGCAGUCUGAGACAAUUAUUAAAUUAAUUAAAACUUUCAACAACGGAUCUCUUGGUUCCG
rnacentral:misc_RNA from 1 species